GACGAACGCUGGCGGCGUGCCUAAUACAUGCAAGUAGAACGCAGUUGCGAACGGGGGAGUAUCACGUAGGUAACCGCCCCCUAGCGGGGGAUAACACUUUGAGACGCUAGCUAUUACAGCAUAUUGUGAGAUGGCCCUGCGUUGGAUUAGCUAGUUGGUGGGGUAAAGGCCCACCAAGGCGACGAUACAUAGCCGACCUGAGAGGGUGAUCGGCCACACUGGGACUGAGACACGGCCCAGACUCCUACGGGAGGCAGCAGUAGGGAAUCUUCGGCAAUGGACGAAAGUCUGACCGAGCAACGCCGCGUGAGUGAAGAAGGGUUUCGGAUCGUAAAGCUCUGUUGUUAGAGAAGCGGUAACUAAACAGAAAGGGACGGCUAACUACGUGCCAGCCGCCGCGGUAAUAC
rnacentral:rRNA from 1 species